GAAGUCCAUGACUUUGCAUGUUGCAAAGCAGUAAGAAUGAAUCCAGUGAACUGAUUCCUGUUCCAUAUGGUUAAGUCGGUGCUUUGGGAGUCUGGCACAAAUUAUACCACUGCGUGCAGAGGUUCCAAAAACAGUGGAGGAGAGAAAAAGCCAGAACUGGGAUGAAUCCGUGUUCGGCGAUCAGGCAGUGGGGAGUUCUUGCUGAAACCUGGUUAUUUCGCGUAUCACGCAAUUAAUCGGCAGUGAGGAAUCGACCUAUAACAUCAGCCUAGACUGGGCUAUCCAGAAUACUCUUCCCGAGAUGAAAAUGCUUGCAAAAUUUCUUUGAAGGCAAAAAUGAGAACAGUAGAUGGCAGCAGAAUUCUGCACUGGCCAUUCUUGUGUUCAUCUGACAGUGAUUAAGUGCCGUUAUGGAAAGUAUGCCUGUGAAUUAAAAGGGGCAGACAUUGAAGAUGGGAUUUAUGAAGCCAUGCAGCCUGAUGUGUCUGCAGCGGUGCCAGACCUGGAAGAAGAGCCUGUUUACGUGGAAAUGGCCCUGCACCAAGCACAACCCAAUCAACCUUAUGCUGCGGUGUGGUCCACCUGCAUUUGGUCCUUGGU